UGAUAAUGAUGUCAUCUCUGUUCUGCAAUCUUAUAUGCUAAUAUUAUCAUACUUAAAUGGAUAACACAUUUUCAAAAUAAUCUUUUGUGUGUGUAUGUGUGUGUGUGUGUGUGUGUGUGUGUGUGGUAUUGGACAUCAA
rnacentral:sRNA from 1 species